rnacentral:rRNA from 1 species
CCGGGAGGCAGCAGUAGGGAAUCUUCCACAAUGGACGAAAGUCUGAUGGAGCAAUGCCGCGUGAGUGAAGAAGGUUUUCGGAUCGUAAAACUCUGUUGUGAGGGAAGAACAAGUACGAGAGUAACUGCUCGUACCUUGACGGUACCUCAUUAGAAAGCCACGGCUAACUACGUGCCAGCAGCCGCGGUAAUACGUAGGUGGCAAGCGUUGUCCGGAAUUAUUGGGCGUAAAGCGCGCGCAGGCGGUCCUUUAAGUCUGAUGUGAAAGCCCACGGCUCAACCGUGGAAGGUCAUUGGAAACUGGGGGACUUGAGUACAGAAGAGGAAAGCGGAAUUCCAAGUGUAGCGGUGAAAUGCGUAGAGAUUUGGAGGAACACCAGUGGCGAAGGCGGCUUUCUGGUCUGUAACUGACGCUGAGGCGCGAAAGCGUGGGGAGCAAACAGGAUUAGAUACCCUGGUAGUCCACGCCGUAAACGAUGAGUGCUGGGUGUUAGGGGGUUUCCGCCCCUGGGAGCUGCAAUUUCUCUGAAGCAUCCGCCGGGGAGACGUCGCAGACU